AUUGAACGCUGGCGGCAUGCCUUACACAUGCAAGUCGAACGGCAGCACGGGAGCAAUCCUGGUGGCGAGUGGCGAACGGGUGAGUAAUAUAUCGGAACGUGCCCAGUCGUGGGGGAUAACGUAGCGAAAGCUACGCUAAUACCGCAUACGAUCUACGGAUGAAAGCAGGGGACCGCAAGGCCUUGCGCGGACGGAGCGGCCGAUGGCAGAUUAGGUAGUUGGUGGGAUAAAAGCUUACCAAGCCGACGAUCUGUAGCUGGUCUGAGAGGACGACCAGCCACACUGGGACUGAGACACGGCCCAGACUCCUACGGGAGGCAGCAGUGGGGAAUUUUGGACAAUGGGCGCAAGCCUGAUCCAGCCAUGCCGCGUGCAGGAUGAAGGCCUUCGGGUUGUAAACUGCUUUUGUACGGAACGAAAAGACUCUUUCUAAUAAAGAGGGUCCAUGACGGUACCGUAAGAAUAAGCACCGGCUAACUACGUG
rnacentral:rRNA from 1 species